UGCCAUUAUGGAAAGAGGUUCCUUGGAGACCACUGUGAAGACAACCUUGAUGUAUGUGCCAGUUAGACAUAUCUCCAUAGAGGUCUAUCUAUGCAUAGAGGAAACACUUCUGUGACUGCACAGAUAUUGGGUUCACAGGGACUACAGUUCACAGGGACACACUAUGAGACUGUGAUGACUCUUUGUUGGUUAAAGCCUUGUCAUAAUGAUACAACAUGUGAAGACACUGUUGACAGCUAUAUUGUCACUUCUGGCCUGGAUACACAGGUGCCCUGUGUUUGACAGACAAAAGAAUGCAAU
rnacentral:lncRNA from 1 species